AAUGAAAGACUAUCCUUCGAAAGGGCAUGUGCUGAAGAGCGUGUCAACAAAUUGACGAGGGCUAACACCGAAUUAAGUGCUGAACAUGUGGAGACUCUGGCUUCGGUGAUGCUGAAACACAAAGAAAUAACGAGGAAAAACAUCCUACUGGACAAGAUGAAGAACUUUCAUGCGGAAAAUUACAAAAUGAUUGAGGGUCUGCUGUCAGAGCUGCGGAGGUUACAGGAACAUUCACA